CCUUGACCUUUGUGAUGAAGGAAAAAUGACAAUUCGACUAGCAGCUCCCAAAAAUACAUUAACACGGCUUUAUAUAUAUUGAACAGUCAGUUUCAUCACAAGAAUUGUUAUCAAGAGGCAGCAACAUGACGUAAAAUUAUUUUCCUCAAGAGAAAUAUUCGAGUUUCACUCACUGCUUUUGAUCUCGUUAUUCCAUUUUGUGGUGUUGUUGAAUCCGGGUUUUCUUCGUAGUGAAGUAAGGUGGAAGCAGAUAAUUUCUUGGGAUAUAAGGUUUAUCAUAUUAAUUGUGGAAGUUCUUGGAUGGACUGAGCUCUUGAACGACGUGAGGUACAGAUGCUCACGUUGGUAACCCGCCAGCUUAGGAGUCCUAUUCAGCUAUCUUGGAGAGCUCCCUUGUUCCGGAGCCUAGAUUUUGGUACAGAAUCUCUUGUAGUGUAUAUGUAUUUUAUCCAGGGGUACGGCGGGUCCCUGUCCCGUCAUAUGAUAUUGUUGUUACUCUUAGAGGUCUGUAGACAUAUGUGUGGGUUGUGUAUCGAUGUUGUUCAGUUGUGUCUAUAUGGCUUAUGUUUUGGGACG